UAAUAUAUAGGUAACGUGCCCUAGAGAAGAGGAUAACAUUUGGAAACGAAUGCUAAUACUCUAUAUGCCUUUAAGACUUAAGUCUGCAAGGGAAAUAUUUAUAGCUCUAGGAUCGGCCUGUACGGUAUCAGCUUGUUGGUGAGGUAAUGGCUCACCAAGGCAAUGACACCUAACUGGUUUGAGAGGAUGAUCAGUCACACUGGAACUGAGACACGGUCCAGACUCCUACGGGAGGCAGCAGUGGGGAAUAUUGCACAAUGGACGAAAGUCUGAUGCAGCAACGCCGCGUGGAGGAUGACACAUUUCGGUGCGUAAACUCCUUUUAUAUAGGAAGAUAAUGACGGUACUAUAUGAAUAAGCGCCGGCUAACUCCGUGCCAGCAGCCGCGGUUAUACGGAGGGCGCUAGCGUUACUCGGAAUCACUGGGCGUAAAGAGCGUGUAGGCGGGUUAAU
rnacentral:rRNA from 1 species